rnacentral:piRNA from 1 species
UGGUUGUCCAUGGUCUGCACACUUUCAGAGU